GACGAACGCUGGCGGCGUGCUUAAUACAUGCAAGUCAACUUGACUUUAGAUAGCAAUAUCGAAAAGUAGGGUGGCGCACGGGUGCGUAACGCGUAGGUAAUCUGCCCUGAGGUCUGACAUAACCCGUCGAAAGGCGGGCUAACAUCAGAUGAUAUAUAAUCACGACAUCGUGGAAAUAUCAAAUCUUCGGAGCCUUGGGAUGAGCCUGCGUCUGAUUUAGGUAGUUGGCGGAGUAAUAGCCCACCAAGCCUACGAUCAGUAGCUGGUCUGAGAGGAUGAUCAGCCACACUGGAACUGAGACACGGUCCAGACUCCUACGGGAGGCAGCAGUAAGGAAUAUUGCUCAAUGGGGGAAACCCUGAAGCAGCAACGCCGCGUGAAGGAUGAAAUACUUUUGUAUGUAAACUUCUGUAAGAUGGGAAAAAUAUUACUCCUCGGGAGAAUUGAUUGUACCAUCAGAGUAAGCCCCGGCUAACUACGUGCCAGCA
rnacentral:rRNA from 1 species